AUGUGUGUGUAUGUGUGUGUGUGUGUGAAUAGACAGAAAGCAGAAAGACACACACACACACACACACACACACACACACACACAUGCAACCAAAAACAAA
rnacentral:miRNA from 1 species